GAGACAGGGUCUCCCUCUGUCUCCCAGGCUAGACUGCAGUGGCAUAGUCUCGGCUCACUUCAGCCUUGACCUCCCAGGCUCCAGUGAUCCUUCCACUUCAGCCUCCUGAGUAGCUGGAACUACAGGUUCAUACCACUAUGCCUGGCUAGUUUUUGUAUUUUUUGUAGAGAUGUUGUCUCUAUGUUGCCCAGGAGGUGGAGGCUGCAGUGAGCUGAGGUUGCACCACUGCACUCCAGCCUGGGCAACAGAGUAAGACUCUGUCUGGAAGAAAACAAAAUAAAACAAAACCCAACAACAAUCAAUCUAUAAAUAAAUUUCCUUAUCUGUAAAGCUAAAAGAAUACUACUUACAGGAUUAUUGAGUUUCAAAUGAGACAAUACAUGAUUUGGCGUAAGAAAGGAAUGUGGAAACCUAAACCCUGAAAGGGUAAUAUUGAACUUUACCAGUACCCCAAGAUCUCUACCAUCACCCUAUUCGAUAAACAUAACUAAGUCCACCAUGUUAAAACUAUGGAUCC
ensembl:lncRNA novel transcript